AGGCGAAGGGGAAGCAGGCACGUCUUAGCUGGUGGGAGGAGGGAGAGCGAGUGAGUAAAAGGGGAAAGUGCUGCACGCUUCCAAACAAGCAGAUCUUGUGAGAACUCACUAUCCGGAGAAUAGCAAGGGGAAGUCUGCCCCAGGAUCUAGUCACCCCCCAGCAGGCCCCUCCCCUGACAUGUGGCGAUUACAGUUUGGCAGGAGAUUUGGGUGGGGACACAGAUCCAAACCAUACUGUCAGAAGAGCAGCAAGCUCAGUAAAUGGGGCCAGAUCAAAAGGAGGGAGGUAGUGAACGACUCCAUUCGUGUAAAAUUCCAGCAAAUGUGAAGUCCGCGACAGGCCAGCAGCAGAUCCGUGGCUGGCGGGUGUGGGCGGAGGAGGAUGUGCUGGCUUCAGGCAAGCACGCGUCAAAUGCCUCAAACUGUGCUCCUCAAACGUGUGCAGAUUGCAUUUCUGUCCUGCGGGGGCUCAGACCCUCAAUAGUAAGCUCCAGUGGGUUAAGCAGGCUGCUUUCCAGGUGGCCCGUGACACCCCCCCAUCCCCCAGAUGUCCAGCUGCCCUCAGGCCACCUCCCUGGGCUCCCAUGGGCCUCCUCUCCCUGUGCCCCCAGGGAGCUCCAGGGCUCUGAGGAAGGCCAACCCCAGAGGUGUGGGCAUCUGCCCCAAGAUGGAGGCCCCCCCCAACUCUGUGGGCCUCCAAGUGGGAGGACUUGGCUGCAAGGAGAUGAGGGGGGCACUGAGUCAUGCAGGAGGCCAGUGUGGCUGGAAUGAGGUUCAGAUCUGGGGGAGGGGCUGAUUUUGUCCCUGAGCUGCUUUUAGCAGAAAAGCUGAGUGCUGAGGUCAGCUGAGGCUGAAGUCCUGCUUAUGUCUUCAUCUCCAGGAGCUCAUCCCCGCUCCUGCACUGUGGCCAUAGCUCCAGGCAGCCGCGCGCCGACCCCACCCACAGGCCUGGGUGGAGCUGAAGGUCUAAGCCCCAUGCCAGACCCUCAUCCAGGCAGCGACCCCUGGGCACAGGGGGCAUGGCAGGGACACCGAUUUCCUCCUCCUUCUGUCAGUUUGGACAAAGAUUCCAGGGCCACAGACCACCGUCUGGCCGCCCCAAACUGCUUUCUCCAAAAGGGCUUGCCCCAAAGCUUUGCCCACCGAGUCCUGGAGCUGCUGAGCGUCCUGCCGGGCCUCACCUUAGUCUCUCCUGUCGCCUUGUGAGGAAGUGCCUGCUUCCCCUUCCACCAUGAUUAGGUGUGUGUUACUCAGAGGCUGGUGGAGAUGAGAUACACUGCACGUCACAAACCCUGGAGGGACCUGUGAAACUGAAACAGAUGUUGCUGGUAACACAACAGAGGACAAAAACAUGGACUCCUUAAAGAUAGUCAACCAAUCCAAAAGAAAUCAGGAAAAGAAAAAAACAAGGAACAAAGAAUAAAUGAAAAAAAUACAAAACAAAUAGCAAGGUAGUAUACAUAAAUUAAAAUGUAAAAAUUCCAAAUUAAAGGCAGAUAUUUUCAGACUGAAUAAAGGGCAAUAUUCAGCUAUAUACUGUGUAUAUAAAUCCACUUUACAUAUAAAGACACGUAUAGAUUAAAUGUGACAAGAUGGAAAUAAUACAACAUACAAACAUUGAUUAUAAUUAAGCUGAUGUGGCCAUACUAACAUUAGACAAAGCAGACUUCAGAACAAGGAAUAUUAACAGAGAAAAAGAAAAGCAGCCCAUAAUGGAUACAGGGUUCUAUGUAUUAAGAAAAUAUAGGCCGGGUGCGGUGGCUCACGCCUGUAAUCCCAGCACUUUGGGAGGCCGAGGUGGGCGGAUCACGAGGUCAGGAGAUCGAGACCAUCCUGGCUAACAUGGUGAAACCCCAUCUCUACUAAAAAUACAAAAAAUUAUCUGGGUGUGGUGGUGGGCACCUGUAGUCCCAGCUACUUGGGAGGCUGAGGCAGGAGAAUGGCGUGAACCCAGGAGGCAGAGCUGGCAGUGAGCCGAGAUCACGCCACUGCACUCCAGCCUGGGUGACAGAGAGAGACUCCAUCUCAAAAAAAAUAAAUAAAUAAAUAAAAAAGAGAAAAGAAAAUAUAAUGUUCCCAAAUAUGUACGCACACAAUAACAGAACUUGGAAAUAUAUAAAACAAAAACUGACAAAAGGAGAAAUAGGUAAAUUCACAAUUAUAAUUGGCUACCUCAACACUCCUCUUUCAGUAAUUGAUAGAACAAGUAGACAUAAAAUCAGUAAAGAUAUAAAAGAUUGAAAAAACAAACUUCAUCUAAUGUAUAUUUAUAGCAUAUUCCAUGAAAAUACUGAAGAAAUCAUUAAGUACAUAUGAAACAUUCAUAAAGAUAGACCAUAUUAUGAAUCAUAAAAAAAAAAUUUUAAAAAGACUGAAAUAAUACAAUGUUCUCUGACCAGAAUAGAAUUAAAUUAGAAUUCAAUUGCAGAAAAAAAAAUCUCAACUACCCCCACCCCCAGCUAUUUGAAAAUUAAAUAACACACUUUUUUCUAAAAUAACUCAUGAGUCAAAGAAAAAAUCACAAAGUAAAUUAGAAAUACUUGAUUAAAAUGAACAUCAAUGUGUCAAAAUUUGCGAGAGACAGAACGAUGCUUAGAGGGAGAAAUUAUAGGUUUAAUUUCUUACAUUAGAAGAGAAAAAAGACCAAAAAGUAAGAGUAAAUUAAACCCAAAGUAAGUUGAAGAAAGAAAAUACAGAGGAGAGCCUAAAUCAAUAGAAUAAAAAAUAGAGAAAAAUCAAUGGACUCAAAAGUUUGUUUUUUGAAAAGAUAAAUAAAAUUGAUAGAUUUCUAAGUAGACUACUCAAGAAAAAAUUACCAAUAUCAAGAAUAAAAGGGGAGCUGUUACAACAGCACUUACAGGCAUUAAAAGGAUAAUAAGGAAUAUUAUGAACAAUUUUAUGCCAAAAAUUUUAAUAAUUUACAUAAAAUAGACAAAUUCUUUGAAAGGCAUAAAUUACCAAAACUGACUUAUAAAGAAAUUUUGAAAUAUCAGAAUAGGACUAUAUCAAAUAAAUGGAACUUAUAAUUAAAAACCUUCUCAAAACAACAACAACAAAGAUUAAAAAACUCCAGACAGGUUUACUUUGAAAUCUAUCAAACUUUCAAGGAAAUAGUAAUACCAAAUCUAUACAAACUCAUUCAGAGAACAGAGGAGGAAGACAUACUUCCCAACUUAGUCUAUGAAGUCAGCAUUCUACUGAUACCAAAACCAGACAAAGACAUUACAAAGAAAGAAACCUACAGGCCAGUCCAGUGUCUCUCAGGAAUGAACACAGAUGCAAAAAUGUUUAACAAAAUGCAAUCAAAUUGGAUUCAACAAUAUAUAGAAGGUGGGGGGGGGAUUGUAUCCAGGAAUGUAACAUUCACUUAACGUUCAAAAAUGAGUCAGUGGAAAAUAGUGUUUUAUCUGGGAACUGCAAAAUUCAUAACAAAAUAAAAUACAUAAACACU